CUGCACAGCAAAGUGGGCGGCUGUGUGCACACAUACAGCCUCUGUUUUGGAUUCCUUCCCAGGUGGCUUACCACGGCGCCCUCAGUAGCACUUCCCGCGCUGCCCAGGAGGUUGCCAUCAGUCACGGGUGUCGUGCGUCAUGUUGAUGGUGCCUGCACGUUUGAAGCUGCACAGCGAGGACUGUGGACGUGGGCCCAGCCCUGCAGCUGUCCUGAGACGGGGGUGUCGCAAAGGCGGCGGGAGGGAGAUGAGUCUGACCUUCCCACUUGGUUGAGUGUGAACGUCUGAGGGGUGACGUGGAAGUCGCUGGUUUUGAGUGGGGCCCAAAGGAAGAGGUCAAUUUGUAGCACAGAUGGUCCUGCACUUGGGUCAUGAAACUCGGAAGACCUGAGGAUCACACGCCCGGCUGAGCAGCUCCGGACGCACUGUGGUCACGGCAGAAGCGCAGUUGAGGCUGAGCCCUGACGGGGCACUGUGUCAGCCCGUGACUGUGGGACCCUGGGCCAGAUCCAUUUCACCUGCACCAUUAAUCAAAGUCGUUUUAAGACUUUCUCUUCCUCGAGGCCUCACGGGGCCUGGAUGACGAGAUGCUCACCUGAGUUGUUCCCCAGGAGCUUGGAGUCAGCUGGGCCGGGUUCCAGCUGAGCUGGUUAAGAGUGGACAGGACUUCCGAGCCUCCAGGGGGCAAGCACGAAUCUCCUCUCCACGACCUUUGACAUCAGAGCUGAGAACUUCACCCUUAGUCUCUAAGUGCCUCCACUUUUGAACAUGCAGAGGCCUGUGGCGAGGUUAACACCUUCAUGGACCGAGAUUAUCCCAGCUUUUUCCCAUCUCCCUGCACUCCCCACCCAUCCGACCUCAGGCCGCCCUGCUGCUUUAUCCUGUAAGUACUCUGGGCCCCUUGCCUUCGAGGAGGUGGAGCUAAGGUUUGUUCUUCCGUCUCCUUACUUGGCUGAUUUCCUGCAGACUUCAGCAUUUUGGCUAGCUGUGCUUCUGGCAGAGUGAGCCUGGUCCGGCAGCGGCUGGAGCAGUCCAUUUUCAGAUCCACGAGGCUCUUUUGGGCGGGUGUGUCAGCAGCCCAGUGCACACUGAUGCCCACAAGUGGCACCACCAAUGAAUCCCGAAUCACUUAAAUGCAGUUUCAGAAACUGAGAUGGAGUCCAGGUGGAUUUUAUGCAUUGCCUGAAAGAGCUGGUCUCUCUGUAUAUUCAUGCCUGUAGUGUAGCCUUUCAGGAUUUCAACCCAAAGGUGGGACGCUUACAAGAAUCCUUCCUCUUGGCAGCCCUAAGCCUGCAAAGCUGACGAAAUCUUUGUUCACCUUCUCAGCCUUUCCAGCUGUUUUCUUCCGGAAUUGAGUGAAAAACGGUCCUAACUGAAAGGCUUACUUCUCUAGGUGUCCCCUCUUCCCCUUUAUUGGCCUCAUGUCAUCUAUCUAUCUAUAUAUAUAUAUAUGUCUUGUUUUGUAUAUAUGUUUUUUUAAAUCAUUUUUUCAGCUAUUUUCAGUGGGAGGCUUUCUGGAAAUCACCUUUCCCUGUUUCCAAACCAAGCUCUACUGCUUCGGGCGGCAGUAAAGCCGAUCUGCUGACACUGGGUCGCAGUGAAGGAAAAUGCAGCGAUUGCUGCAGGUGCCGAGCAAGGAGUCCCGGCAGCUGGUGCUCAAAAGACCUGCAUUCCUGAAGGCUCUCAGGAAAGUUUUCUACAGACAAAGUGGAGGCAGUGGACAUGGAACGGGGGAGUCCUGUACUGGGAAGGUCCUGUAGGGUCCUGCUCGCUGACAGGCCUAGGAGGCUGAGGCUUUUCUACAGACAGAAGCCCGUGGAGGACACGGAGUGGUGAUCGUGAAGCCAGUUGAAGUAGCUUGAAAACAGAAUGGUUCUUCCUGGAGUCGGUGUCUGCAGACACACCGCUGCACCGGCAACUUCGCGAGCAGGCGCAACGCUGUGAGCGGGGAAGUGGAGGUGGUCUCAGCAGAGACGACAGGACGGGGUGUUCCCCUGCCCCACGUUCUGCUCUGUGGACACAUCGGGCGCGGUGACACACCACAUCCCGAACAAGCACCCUCGAGCAAAGCUCCCUCAAGUUUCAAAACCCCCAGUUCACAC
ensembl:lncRNA